rnacentral:sRNA from 1 species
UGUCGAGGGUAGUGCAGAUCUGGUCAGU